rnacentral:rRNA from 1 species
AUUGAACGCUGGCGGCAGGCCUAACACAUGCAAGUCGAACGGUAGCACAGAGAGCUUGCUCUCGGGUGACGAGUGGCGGACGGGUGAGUAACGUCUGGGAAACUGCCCGAUGGAGGGGGAUAACUACUGGAAACGGUAGCUAAUACCGCAUAACGUCGCAAGACCAAAGUGGGGGACCUUCGGGCCUCACACCAUCGGAUGUGCCCAGAUGGGAUUAGCUAGUAGGUGGGGUAAUGGCUCACCUAGGCGACGAUCCCUAGCUGGUGUGAGAGGAAGACCAGCCAAACUGGAACUGAGACCCGGUCCAGACUCCUACGGGAGGCAGCAGUGGGGAAUAUUGCACAAUGGGCGCAAGCCUGAUGCAGCCAUGCCGCGUGUAUGAAGAAGGCCUUCGGGUUGUAAAGUACUUUCAGCGGGGAGGAAGGCGGUGAAGUUAAUAGCUUCACCGAUUGACGUUACCCGCAGAAGAAGCACCGGCUAACUCCGUGCCAGCCGCCGCCGUAA